rnacentral:rRNA from 1 species
AAUACCCAUAGAUAGUGACGGUACCGUAAGAGAAAGCCACGGCUAACUACGUGCCAGCAGCCGCGGUAAUACGUAGGUGGCAAGCGUUGUCCGGAAUUAUUGGGCGUAAAGGGCGCGCAGGCGGCCUGUCAAGUCUGUCUUAAAAGUGCGGGGCUCAACCCCGUGAUGGGACGGAAACUGGCAGGCUGGAGUGUCGGAGAGGAAAGCAGAAUUCCUAGUGUAGCGGUGAAAUGCGUAGAUAUUAGGAGGAAUACCAGUGGCGAAAGCGGCUUUCUGGACGACAACUGACGCUGAGGCGCGAAAGCCAGGGGAGCAAACGGGAUUAGAUACCCCGGUAGUCCUGGCCGUAAACGAUGGGUACUAGGUGUAGGAGGUAUCGACCCCUUCUGUGCCGGAGUUAACGCAAUAAGUAUCCCGCCUGGGGAGUACGGCCGCAAGGCUGAAACUCAAAGGAAUUGACGGGGGCCCGCACAAGCGGUGGAGUAUGUGGUUUAAUUCGACGCAACGCGAAGAACCUUACCAAGCCUUGACAUUGAUUGAACGAGGCAGAGAUGCCUUUUUCCUCUUCGGAGGACAAGAAAACAGGUGGUGCACGGCUGUCGUCAGCUCGUGUCGUGAGAUGUUGGGUUAAGUCCCGCAACGAGCGCAACCCCUAUCUUCUGUUACCAGCACGUAAGGGUGGGGACUCAGGAGAGACUGCCGCAGACAAUGCGGAGGAAGGCGGGGAUGACGUCAAGUCAUCAUGCCCCUUAUGGCUUGGGCUACACACGUACUACAAUGGCUCUUAAUAGAGGGACGCGAAGGAGCGAUCUGGAGCAAACCCCAAAAACAGAGUCCCAGUUCGGAUUGCAGGCUGCAACCCGCCUGCAUGAAGCAGGAAUCGCUAGUAAUCGCAGGUCAGCAUACUGCGGUGAAUACGUUCCCGGGCCUUGUACACACCGCCCGUCACACCACGAAAGUCAUUCACACCCGAAGCCGGUAA